UACGGAGGGAGCUAGCGUUGUUCGGAAUUACUGGGCGUAAAGCGCGCGUAGGCGGCUUUGUAAGUUAGAGGUGAAAGCCCGGAGCUCAACUCCGGAAUUGCCUUUAAGACUGCAUCGCUAGAAUCAUGGAGAGGUGAGUGGAACUGCGAGUGUAGAGGUGAAAUUCGUAGAUAUUCGCAAGAACACCAGUGGCGAAGGCGGCUCACUGGCCCGAUACUGACGCUGAGGCACGAAAGCGUGGGGAGCAAACAGG
rnacentral:rRNA from 1 species